GAUGAACGCUGGCGGCGUGCUUAACACAUGCAAGUCGAACGGAAAGGCCAGUGCUUGCACUGGUACUCGAGUGGCGAACGGGUGAGUAACACGUGGGUGAUCUGCCCUGCACUUCGGGAUAAGCCUGGGAAACUGGGUCUAAUACCGGAUAGGACAAUGGUUUGGAUGCCGUUGUGGAAAGUUUUUUCGGUGUGGGAUGAGCUCGCGGCCUAUCAGCUUGUUGGUGGGGUAAUGGCCUACCAAGGCGUCGACGGGUAGCCGGCCUGAGAGGGUGUACGGCCACAUUGGGACUGAGAUACGGCCCAGACUCCUACGGGAGGCAGCAGUGGGGAAUAUUGCACAAUGGGCGCAAGCCUGAUGCAGCGACGCCGCGUGGGGGAUGACGGCCUUCGGGUUGUAAACUCCUUUCGCUAGGGACGAAGCGUAUUUGUGACGGGACCUGGAGAAGAAGCACCGGCUAACUACGU
rnacentral:rRNA from 1 species